rnacentral:tRNA from 1 species
UGGCUCAGCUGGUAAAGCAUCUGCUUGCAAUGCAGGAGACCCAGGUUCGAUCCCUGG